GAGUCUCUCUCUGCUGCCAGGCUGGAGUGCAGUGGCGCGAUCUCAGCUCACUGCAACCUCUGCCUCCCGGGUUCAAGAGAUUCUGCUGCCUCAGCCUCCCGAGUAGCUGGGACUACAGGGAUGAGUGGCUGAUGCCAGAGCCCCAGCUGUUGCUUCCCAGUCUGCUGGUGAAUCCUUCAGGGUCUGGUGAGUGUAAAUAUCUUUUCCCUUCUCCUCUUCCCAUUGCAGUUUGCUUAUUAUAUCAAUCUAUUAU
rnacentral:lncRNA from 13 species